GUGGAGUUUGAGGAUGGUUCCCAGGUGGUAGCUAAGAGAGAGGACGUCUAUACUCUGGAUGAAGACCUUCCCAAAAAGGUGAAAGGGCGACUCUCGACGGCAUCCAGCAUGCGUUUCCAGGACGCCUUCUUCACGACCCAGGGAGAGAGGAAGAGACAGAGAACGCCCAACUCCCGUUUCCAGAAAGACUAUGUGGCCCUCCCAGGCCUCCUUACCGCCAGCAAGAGCACAUGGGAGCCCCGCAGCCCUAAAGGAAAAUGAUAGAGGGGUGGAGAGAUGACAAAUGAAUGCACUGAUGUAUGUGUGUGUGAGUGUAGCUGUGGGAUGUACAGGGGUGUGUGUGUGUGUGUGUGUGUCCUCUCCCUGGGUCGUAGGAAAGAGGGCUGGGCAGAGGACCAUUUAGAUUGGACUGUAUUGUCCUGAAGAAGGGUUAUCAUGAGUUGUGGUGGUUACCCAGUGCUUUCUCAUAAGUCAGGGAAUUCAAAACAAAAACGAUUUGUCACCUGAUUGCGUUUAAAAAAAGAAUAAAAACACAAAAACACAUGUUUUUCUUUGUAUAUUACCAAAACAAACAGAGCUUCUUCUUUUCUAAACAAGCCCUACAACACAGUAGCGUUUUGGAAUCUGCUGUAUCUACCUGAGGAUUAUUUUGAAUAUGAAUGCAUCCCCCGUCCCAGACUGUGCCCUAAAUGGCACCCUAUUCCCUAUAUACUGCACUACUUUAGACCAGGGCCCUGGUUAAAAGUAGUGCACUUCUAUAAGGGAAUAGGGUGCCAGUGUUUUCCCUCUCCGCAUGUUAGCUGUCGUCUACUGCUUCUGCUCCUCGGCCGCGUCUCCAUACUCUCAAAGCGGCUUCCUCUCCUCGUUUCCUUGUAUACUCGUCUCCUUUCCUUUAUCCUCCAUUCACACUGACCUGAAAGGACUGGAAAGGUGAAGGCGAACACACACACAAAAGACAUCGGCCAUUUUUGAUAUUGCUUUAAUUUGUCUGGCUCAGUGCCAGAUCAGUGCGGAUUAAGUAAAGGAGUUGAGGAAAGGAGACGAGAAGAGGAAGCAACUAGAUAAUUGAGUUCUCUGUCCUCUUAAUUAACAUGUGAAACAGAGUUGCUACUGUCGCUGUGUUGAAUAAAAACACGGGGUCAUCUAAUUAUUUAAUUUAAUAUUUUUAUUUAUUUUUGGGGCUUGCUUUUUAAAAAAGUAUUGCUAACUGCUGUAAGGAAAACAAUAAAUAACUUUCAUGUCCUG